GUCUUACCAAGCUGUUAAUAAUGAAGAAAUGCUCAUUAUUAAUAGCACAAUAUAAAGUAAAUGGCACUGAAUGUUAUGUUGGGGGCAGAGAAUGACACUGACAGCUUUUUCUUUAUUGUCUGCAGAGGAGAAGAAAGUAAAGAGCACUAAAGUGGAAGCAAAAGUCAAAAAGGAAGUGAAGGAUGGAAAAGGAGAAGCAAAGACGGCAGAGAAGGUCAAGCAGGCAGAGACAAAAACAACAGAAACUGGGCUAAUAAAGGCCAAAACGAAAGUUAAGGAGGAGAAAGCUCUUCAGACUGUAACUAAAUCGGACAAGAAAGAUCAAUAUGCAUUCUGUCGCUAUGUGAUUGACAUGUUUGCACAAGGGGAUUUUUAUCCAGGUGCAGCACAUAAGGAAUUUGCACCACCUCGUCUUCUUCUAGAACACAGUCCAAGAAAGAAACCAGCAGCUAUUGAAGGCAAGUUUGAGUUUUCCCACCUUUAUUGGCUUCUACUUAUUAACUUGACUGUU
rnacentral:lncRNA from 1 species